GGAAAUGUGGCUUAGUGGUAGAGUGCUUGCCUUAGAUACAUGAAGCCCUGGGUUCGACUCCUCAGUACCA
rnacentral:tRNA from 1 species